rnacentral:rRNA from 1 species
UUUCUUCGGAGAUGGAUUAGCGGCGAACGGGUGAGGAACACGUGAAGAAUCUGCCCUCCACUUUGGGAUAACACCGGGAAACCGGUGCUAAUACCGAAUAUUGAAACAUAAGUGGCAUCACUGAGUUUUUAAAGAAUUUCGGUGGAGGAUGACUUCGCGGCCUAUCAGCUAGUUGGUGAGGUAAUGGCUCACCAAGGCAACGACGGGUAGCCGGCCUGAGAGGGCGACCGGCCACACUGGGACUGAGACACGGCCCAGACUCCUACGGGAGGCAGCAGUGGGGAAUAUUGGGCAAUGGAGGAAACUCUGACCCAGCGACGCCGCGUGCGGGAUGAAGGCCUUCGGGUUGUAAACCGCUUUCAGUAGGGAAGAAGCGAAAGUGACGGUACCUACAAAAGAAGCACCGGCUAACUAUGUGCCAGCAGCCGCGGUAAUACAUAGGGUGCAAGCGUUGUCCGGAAUUAUUGGGCGUAAAGAGCUCGUAGGUCGUUUGCCACGUCGGAUGUG